ACUCCUACGGGAGGCAGCAGUGGGGAAUAUUGGACAAUGGGCGCAAGCCUGAUCCAGCCAUGCCGCGUGAGUGAUGAAGGCCCUAGGGUUGUAAAGCUCUUUCACCGGUGACGAUAAUGACGGUAACCGGAGAAGAAGCCCCGGCUAACUUCGUGCCAGCAGCCGCGGUAAUACA
rnacentral:rRNA from 1 species